UAACCUACACGUGGUAUCCCCACUCACUCCCGCCAUCAGAUCUUAGGGAGCAGGCUGCAUCCUCAGAUCAGAGCUGCCCCAGGUCAGCAGCGGAGGGAUGUAUAUGAAAAGACAACCGCCGAACUUUAAUAUCAGUUGGAGACGAAACGCGGCUCGAAGAGGUCAUGGCUUCGGUAGAAGUCAGAUCAAACCGCCGUGGUCUCCAGGGCUCCAUCGACUGCCUUGCUGAUAGGAGGACUUAACCGGUCAGUGUGAUGUGAGUGAGUGCGCCUGAUGAAAGCGCAAACAUAGGGAUGUAAUCAAUGCAGACUUGUUGGAAUAUAUCAAUCAGCUAAGGUGAUCAUGUUGAGAUGAGUGUGUGUCCUAAGAGCGACGAAGACAAAAUAUCCCUGGCACCCGUAAAGAUGUUCACCAUGACUCCACUACCCCGCCACGCCACAUACUGCGACUCUUUUCGUUUAUUUUUGUUCUCUCUACGUACAGCAGUGCCUACAACAUAUCUUAGCUGUGACGAGCAUCCAAACAGCCGUACAACGACUGUGUCAAAUUUAUGAGUUGGCUUUCAAUUGGAAGAAACCGCUAUUUUCAGUAUCAGUGUAUCCGUUAAGUAUUUGAAACGGGCGAUGUGAUCUCUGUGUUUUCUCUCGAUCCCAACAGACUGACCAUACACACUGGACACGAGUGACAACGUCAAGGUGUUCCUGACACCCGUACCUGUGUCCACCAGGACGACGCAGUUCCGCCACAACGUGCACAGGGACUCCUACCACGACAGGGAAAGUCAGUGGAGUCCGUGCAAGUCAGUGAGACGAGCUGCAUCACUGAAGGAGCCGGAAUAGACGUCCGUGUGCCUUAUAAAGUCGGGAAGGAGCUACAAAUCACCCAUAACAGCACCGUCGACAGGAGGAAGAUAAUGAGAGGGGAGUGCCAGACCAGUAGCAGAUCUAGAAUAGCCAAUCGAUUGCGCUGCUACAACCAUAGUGAACCUGAAACUAGUUAGAGAAUUUGCGGGCUAGUUUUGAGGUGAUUUAUACCAUUACUGUGCAUUUUAGUGUACUGGGUAUACAUUGCAGUAGUAGUUGAUUGUGCAUGUGUAUCAAAGAACCGUACAUAAGGUUAACCUCAGCGACGACGGACCGAAUCAAACCGGAGAUGGAUGUAGUAAAGGAGAGAACCGCCAUA